AUGUUUUGGGUUGUCGUAUGCAAUCAUCCAAUCCAAUAACUUGUGGAAAAACAGAGGGUUAAUUAGUGCAAUUCACGAUUAAUUUGGGGCGUUGAGUAUUCAUAGCUUAUCGAAAAGCAACUGGAAAUCGUUUUGUAUGCAAGUGUGACAUGCGUGGAGAAGAACCUCCUAGCUAGCCUUCCAUCCAUAAGUUUCAUUCAAAUUCAUUUUACAAUCUGUUUUGAUUCAGUUAAAUUUGUCUAAGAAUUUGUUUACUUUGUCCUUGUCUUAAUUUAAUUAUUUUCGUCCAAAAUCAACCCCAUCUUAUUUCUUUGAGUCAUAUUAAUUAGAACUUGUCUUAGAUUAUGUUUUUAAGUGUUUUAGUUCAUUAGAAAACCAAAAUUCGUCCAAGUUUGUUUUAGAGUCCCAAAACUGCCCAGAUUGUGUGUUUAAGGUAGUUUUGAGUGUUUAGGGGCUAUUUUGAGUCUUUUGGUUUGUUUUAGUGUUUUAAAGUAUAGUUUUGCAUUCUUUGAGUCUAGUCAGUGUUUUAAACUUUGUUUUUACGUUUUCAAGUCAGUUUCCAAGUGAUUUAGCAAUCCCUCCUAAU
rnacentral:lncRNA from 1 species